GCUAUGAAGAAAAUUUUGGACUUGAUCAACACUAAAAUGAAAAGUUCAAUUAGUUCCUCUAAGAAGUUCUGAGCUU